GGAGGGUGCAAGCGUUAAUCGGAAUUACUGGGCGUAAAGCGCGCGUAGGUGGUUUGUUAAGUGGAAUGUGAAAGCCCUGGGCUCAACCUAGGAAUUGCAUCCCAAACUGGCAGACUAGAGUACAAGAGAGGGGUGUGGAAUUUCCUGUGUAGCGGUGAAAUGCGUAGAUAUAGGAAGGAACAUCAGUGGCGAAGGCGACGCCUGGCUUGAUACUUGAGGUGCGAAACGGUGGGGAGCAAACAGGAUUAGAUACCCUGGUAGUCCACGCCGUAAACGAUGUCUACUAGCCGUUGGGGACCUUGAUCCCUUAGUGCCGAACGUAACGCGAUAAGUAGACCGCCUGGGAGUACGGUCGCAAGAUUUAAACUCAAAUGAAUUGACGGGGCCGCACAGGCCUGAGCAUGUGGUUUAAUUCGACGCAACGCAAAACCCUUA
rnacentral:rRNA from 1 species